GAUGAAGAACGUAGCGAAAUGCGAUAAGUAAUGUGAAUUGCAGAAUUCAGUGAAUCAUCGAAUCUUUGAACGCACAUUGCGCCCGCCAGUAUUCUGGCGGGCAUGCCUGUUCGAGCGUCAUUACAACCCUCAGGCCCCCGGGCCUGGCGUUGGGGAUCGGCGGAGCCCCCCGUGGGCACACGCCGUCCCCCAAAUACAGUGGCGGUCCCGCCGCAGCUUCCAUCGCGUAGUAGCUAACACCUCGCGACCGGAGAGCGGCGCGGCCACGCCGUAAAACACCCAACUCUUCUGAAGUUGACCUCGAAUCAGGUAGGAAUACCCGCUGAACUUAAGCAUAUCAAUAAGCGGAGGA
rnacentral:misc_RNA from 1 species